GGCUGCUUCAAUUUCAGCUUGAACCUCCAAAACGCAAGUUAGCACCUCAUACCACAGUGCAUCAGUCUCAUGAGCGCUGGGAAGGAGGAGCCCAGAGCCCAAAACAGACAGUGCAGGAGAUGACAAGCUGUCCUGUGCCAGAAGUUCUGUUGACCCGCAG